GGCGAACGCUGGCGGCAGGCCUAACACAUGCAAGUCGAACGAACUCUUCGGGGUUAGUUGCGGUCGUGGGGGGAAGACGUGGUAACGUGCCUGUAGGUUCGGAGUAACUGAGGGAGAGUUAUGCUAAGACCGAAUGUGCCCUUCGGGGGUAAGAGUUCUCGCCUUUUGAGCGGCGCGUGUCUGCUUAGCUGGUUGGGGAGGUACAGGCUCACCAAGGACACGAUGGGGAGCUGGUGUGGUAGGAUGCCCCGUCACAGUGGGAGUGAGACACGGACCAAAAUCGUACGCGAGGGAGCAGUAGGGAAUCCUGCGCAAUGAGCGAAAGCCUGACGACGCCACGCCGGGUGAAUGAUGCAGGUCUUAGGAUUGUAAAAUUCCUUCUCCGGAGACGAUAAUGACGGUAACCGGAGAAGAAGCCCCGGCUAACUUCGUG
rnacentral:rRNA from 1 species